GAUGAACGCUGGCGGCGUGCCUAAUACAUGCAAGUCGAGCGAACGGACGAGAAGCUUGCUUCUCUGAUGUUAGCGGCGGACGGGUGAGUAACACGUGGAUAACCUACCUAUAAGACUGGGAUAACUUCGGGAAACCGUAGCUAAUACCGGAUAAUAUUUUGAACCGCAUGGUUCAAAAGUGAAAGACGGUCUUGCUGUCACUUAUAGAUGGAUCCGCGCUGCAUUAGCUAGUUGGUAAGGUAACGGCUUACCAAGGCAACGAUGCAUAGCCGACCUGAGAGGGUGAACGGCCACACUGGGACUGAGACACGGUCCAGACUCCUACGGGAGGCAGCAGUAGGGAAUCUUCCGCAAUGGGCGAAAGCCUGACGGAGCAACGCCGCGUGAGUGAUGAAGGUCUUCGGAUCGUAAAACUCUGUUAUUAGGGAAGAACAUAUGUGUAAGUAACUGUGCACAUCUUGACGGUACCUAAUCAGAAAGCCACGGCUAACUACGU
rnacentral:rRNA from 1 species